rnacentral:lncRNA from 1 species
CUCGUCUAAACUAGACGUGUACAUUGUGAUGAGUAUGUAACGUCUUCAUAAACAUAUCUGUCCUCUCUCUAUACGGGUGCGCCUGUAAGAGAUAAUACCUGCAAACAAAUUUUACGGAAGAGUUUAGGUCCAAUAAACCUGCAAUCAUAAGAGAGUAUAACUGGGUAAAGAGUUAGGAUGAGUAACCAUUUCCACUUCAUCCUUGUAUUCUUGAACCAUGAGCUUACUUCUGGGUUUGACUGAUGAUGAAGGAACACAAGAACAUUCCUCCACCUGUAACUUGAGCAGGCAAAAAGGUCGGAAACAGGAAAAGUAGAGAACCUGGGGGGAAUACAAGAAAAGUUAUCCCUUUCUUCCUCAUCCAUAUGCAGAUACUUUCAAGGACUUGCAUGUGAAAGCAAUGCCUUAACUUUCUUGUCCAGAACUCCAUCUCAUCAACAUUAAUUAUCCAGGCCUGACUUUGUUUCCAAGCUUGGUCUCAAAUAAAAGUCCAUAUGGAUCCCUCCCUCCUGCUUGUAUCAAUUUGCAAGCUCCAAACAAGCUCCAAGGUCUGUACCAGCUUGGACAAUCUGUGGAAACAAAUUAGGUGCAGUGCUUCGUAAUCGUGGUCAGUUUCACCCUUCCUUGGAGCUGUUUCUGUAUCAAAAAGUUGGAUAUCUUCUGUAACAUCCAACUGAGUUCCUCGUGUCUUUCUUGCUAUUAUGAAUGAAUUUUUCACCUGCAUGCAGUAAUAAAUGACGAUAAGAAGCAGCCUUAGGAAAUACUCUCACUGAUGUCAUGUAAAUUGCAACAUGUUGUCUUUAGUAUGAUUAUAUAUGACAAAUAAGAAUAUAAGAUUAUGUGACAAUUCAAUGAAAAAACCUUCAUAUCAUGGCUUCUUUAAAUGGUUCAGCAAAUGAAUUCAUCUAAUUUAAUUGUUAGGGGUGAGAUUUUCUGAAUUAGGAGAAGAAUACUAGGAAGAGCGCCAGAAUACAAUUGAAGGAAGGAUACCACAAAAAAAACUGCAUCAUCUAAAGAAGGUAUCAUAUUUAUGUUUCCAGUGGGCCCUUCAUGUCUUAUGAAAUGAAACAUAUAUGUUUCGCAUGGCAAUUAUUUGACUAAAGCAAAAGAAUUUCUUCAAGUUAAGCUAGUCACUGAGAAUCAUAAAAAUGUGAAAAUAUAUUAUUUUUCUUCUAUAUCAAUAUCAGCAGUUAAUAAACUAUUUCAGACCUAUUUUUCUGAACAAGUUAUAUCAUAAUUUCUAUAGACAGUCUACUAUAAUCAAACACUUGUUUUAUUACUACAUGUUGCAUGCGUGCCCAUCCAUUAGAAAACAAGGAUCCUCCGCACCAGUCAUGUUGCCCAUUGAGAACAAGGUAAUGGCUCAGCAUGGAUGCAAUCUGAUCAUUCUAUUGGCCUAACAAUUUGGAUAGAGUGGAUGCCAAAAAGCAAGUUACUAUUGGUAGGUCCAUCGAGUCUCAAUCCAUACUGUACUCUAAUCUGAGACUGAUAAGGUUUUGAAUGUAUAAACAAUUAGCAUUCAUAAUAAGCUUCACAACACAGAAGCAAAGAAGCAAUUUCAAAGGAAGCCAAAUACUACAAUCUGUGUGUUUGUGUUGAAAGAAUGCAUAUAAGAAGUCAUAAAACACCUUCUUUUGUAGAAAGAAAACAUACCUGUAUUGGGUUCCAGAGGCAGUUUUCAGGCCAAAUGAGUGACGUCAACAAUGCCAGCGAUGCUGCGUUUGCAACUGCAGUUGCAGCAGCUGCAUAUGCUAUCACUUCACUGGAAGAAGAAGAUCCAUUGAACCAGAAGCGCCCUCCAGCCAAGAUAAAAAGCAAAAGGGAAGAUAGCAUGAACAAGCCAACUGAUAACAUACUAUCGAGAUGGUUAACUGGCUACGAUGAAAAACAAUCAGGUACUUUCCUGUUAUAUGUCCUUCUGCAGUUACUAGCAUAAUAAAGCUGAAUCAUUGUGUUCUCAUCAAUUCCAUACUGAUGUGUAUAGUUAAGGUAUUUUUGUAUCCGUUUCCACAUUCAGCCCAAGGACACAUAGAAAACAUUAAGCAUGAAAUCCAAUACCCAAAAUAUUUGUGAAGGAUAACACAAUUUCAGAUCAUUCUCCAGUGAAAAAGCCGGUAGGAAACAAAGAAAAAAUGCUAGACGAAUCUGGGUUCGAUCGCAAACUUUCAGGAAAAGAAAAGGAAACUAAUCUAAUCACUAAAAGGACACCAACGAUCUCUGAUAAGUAUCCAGAUGAUACAGGCAGUAUUAGAUCUGAAAACGGACAAAACCAAAAAAGGAGACAAGCAUCAUCCACAAUCAAACCUACAGCAUCACUUUCUGGGAAAGGAAAUGGAGUUGAGAAAACAACUGGUUAUGAUACAGUGGAAACAAAAGCAAAUGCAUGGGAGAGAGAAAAGAUGGACGAAAUUAAGAAAAGGUAACCACAGCUUGCCUAGCAAUCUGAUGUAUCAAAAAAUUUCAGCAGCAGCAAAUUAUUUAGUGAAUCUACUUCUAACAACAGAAACAAUUUUCAGGUAUGAAAGGAUGAUGAAUGAAAUUCGGGAGUGGGAGAAUCAGAAGAAGGUGAAGGCCAAACACCGACUGGAUCGAAAAGAGGUUUAUGAUUAUUUCUGUUGCAAUUUUCUCCUUUUCAUCUUCUUUCUAUUCGAAGACAUAUCCACCCCAAAUAAUAAAGACCUUUAGAAGUCCUUGAUGAAGACAGAGUCUUCCUAAAGCAGCUGAACUGCAAAAAGCAAUAGCAGCUGCCAUCGCUUUCAGCUUCUCAAACCAAACUGACCACAUCUUAUGUCAUUCAGAACCAUGGACUAAAAAAAUCCUAAAACACUUCAGUAUACAUGCCCUUAUUAUUAAACAUACACCAUAAAUAAAGUUUCAGCUGCAUAAACAAAAUCUCUCUCAUGAAAUGGCAAAGUCCAAGGUAAGAAUGCAGAUAAGCAGUGUGGUCCCUACUGGAUAAUUCACACAUUCCAAGUAAUCAAAUCUGCCCUGGCAACUCUUAAAUUAAAGCAGACACCAUACCAUUACAAUCUUCAUCUUACAGAAAAAGGAAAUAGAACAUAUUCAUACUUCACAUCCACAAGAAUAUACCUCACUACUUUACAAAAAAAUAAGAACUACUUCUCCGAUAAACAUUUUGUUUCUUGGAAUUACCCAGUCACAGUUGACAUCCAGAAAACAAUUUUACCAAUGGCUUAUCCAGGUAAUUUGCACAAUAUCUUCUUUUAUUAUCAAAAGCACUUGUCUGUAUUACAUCCGAAUAUAGAUGCCUAUGGACACACCAUGACAUCAAAAUGCAAUCCUACUAUAUCCAGGCCUUACUCUGUCCCUUAUAUUUCAGUUGAACAAAAGACAAACCUAUCAAGUUCCGAUGUGUUUUGAAUGCAUCUCCUCUUGGAAGUUCUCCUAGUUCUUAUAAUCACUACAUGCUCAGGCUUCAGUUGCUAAUGAAGCAUGCCAGGGCAUAAAAUGAUUGUUGUUCAUUAAAAGAAAAAUAAAACAAAGUUUUAUGACAUUUUAACUGAGAUAAAAGAACAGCUGACCGCUUAAUAUGGUAAUUGCAGAGAUAUGUGGAACGCAGAAAAGAAAAGGCAUUACAAGAAUAUCGUUACAAGAUAGAAAGAAUUGAUCGAGUUUCUGUUGACGCAAGAAACUUAGCAGAAGAAAAGAGAAAAAAUGACGAGACCAAGACACAAGAGAAGGCCAGAAUGAUGCGUUCAAAGGGGAAUGGACCUCACACAUGCUUGUGCUUCUAAAACAUCACCAGAAGAGAAGAAACAGUAUCUGGUCAAGACACUACAUCAAUAUAACUCAAAGGCAGUUUGCUUGUGGAUCUUUCAUUCUAUGUAUAAAAAUCAACAUGUGCAGAUCAAUGAACAUCUGGUAUAUCUUGGUUUAAUUUGUAAUAUAUAUUACAACCUAAAAAAUUCAUGUUCAUCAAAUGAAACCAAAGCAGAACUUCAAAUAGUCCAAAAAAAUAAAGGAUGUGUAUGUGACUAACGGACUGAACCCAAGUUUAAACAGAUACAUGGUUUAACCUCAUGCGCAUUCAAUAAAGUUUAUGUUGAAUGCAGUAUCAAAGAACAUGAAAAGCAGUUCAGUAUGGAUACCACAGUGAUUAAGUGAUCAAAAUUAUCAACUAUAACUUGAGCUAGAAAUAGAAGAAACCUAUAACAGCAACUCGCAGAUACUUGCAAAACAAUGGACAAUCUCCUACCUAACAUGUUCUGUCACUUCAGAAGAUAGUGAAUUUUGGGUACCUACAACCUAUCAUAUGGCAUAUUUCAAAUCACUAUGUUAUACACAGAUUUUAAUUUUAUUUCACAAUGGGUAUUAAUGUAAUCGAGAUGUUAUGGCUAGUCUUCCUAUUUGAAUUAGAAAUAAGAUACUGUUAGAUGAUAAUAUAGAGAGAACCCUGAUUGAUCUAGGACUAUACUUUAACUUUGGAGAAUUAGAGUUGGCCUUGGUCACCUCUCUAUAAGUUUCCCUACAUCUUCCCUCCUCUUAAUCCAUCAAGGGGAGCGAGAUCAUAGGGAAAAUAGGUGUCAUUGAGAUAGGUAGGUACCAUCCCAGCCUUAGCUAUUUAGUUUCUCUAAUGAAAGUGUAGCUAGACAUUUACUUAUACUAAUAAAAUGAGAUUCAUUGGAAUGUAUUUUGAAUUAUUGACAAUAAAUAUAUAUGAAUUUAUUGUUCUUGUUUUGCAUAUUACAGAUGAUUGAAUGAUGAGCUUAUGCAUGGUAUGAUCCUUUUGAUUUAUGAGACAGGUCAUACCGGGGAAAUCUCAAAAAUCAAAUAAGAAUCAGCUGAAUUUAUAAAGACAAUUUUGCCUUGUACAUUAGCUUUUACUUGAUUGAUCAUUUCCCACAUGUUUCAGACUACCACAAAUCUCACUCAUGCCUAACUUUACAAGGUAGGCAUAACAAUUUACACCACAAAAUGAGUCAGUUAUGUUUAUUCAUAAAAGGAAAGCUUAUCACUUCUCUUUGCAGGUAGCUGUUCAUCAAUGCAGAUAUGCCCUCAUCACUUCUAAGAUUCCAUAUCACUUCUCUCCAAUGUUCAUCAACAAAUACAAGAUUAUCCCCAUGUUCCUAAAAUGACGCAAAUCUAUAAUAUUUGACGCUAUUAACAGAGGUAACAUUCAUUCGACAUGAACAUCUAAUAUAGUUCACCAGAAAGUAGAGUUGCAGAAAAUGACUUGACAUAAUUCCAUCCAUUGAAAAUUCCUAGUAAAACAGACGACUUGAGGUCCACCUUUCCCACAGAAAGAACACCAAUGUGCAGAAUAAGAAGAUACAAAGGUAUCAAACGCAAACCUCGGUAGCAAGCUUGUAAUCUCCCUUGGCCUCCCACGCCCCACCUUCGGACAAACCUAUCCGCUUCGCGGAUCUCGCUACGAUGGCGAGGUCUGCGACGCUGAAGGAGGCGGCGAUCUCAUAGCGCCUCGAUGGUCUGAGCGUCGGACCCCCAUGGUGGAGAUCCCCAACAGCGCCCGGACGGAGGGGGCGUCGGAGAGACUCCCGGAGCCGGAAGGGCUUGCACCGCCGGCGAAGGGAAAUGUGACGUCUCUCCUAAUUGGACAUAAAUUAGUCGAUUAAGUCUCAGGCCACCGUCAUUGGUUAAAGCAAUGGAUGAACAUAUUGGAUCAUAAAUUUGUUUUCUAAAUAAUAUAUAAUUAUAUUACAAUAUGUAAUACGUUAUGUUAAAAAUAUGUCACAUACAU